rnacentral:lncRNA from 1 species
AAACAACUCCUGAAGGACCAGAGUUUGGGAAACACUGCACUUUAGGCCCACCUGAACUGCUCUCACUCAAUGCUAUGGAAUCCUGGGAGUUGUAGCAUUACAAAGACUUCUCUGCCCAAUUAUGAUUGGUCCCUCCCCAACUAAAAUUCCUAUAGCAUCGAGCCAUUGCAAUGUUUGAAAGCAGGAAAGACAAGGCCAAGCAUUAAACUACUUAAGAAUUGCUUUGAAUUAUACCCGAUGGAUGAAGCCCCAGGCCUUAGUAUCAUCUGUUUGACCCAUCUUUUAAUGACUGCAGCAUUCCAUUGCAAUGUAUCAUGUGGACAAAAUGACUUCAACACCAAGAAAGCUUUUUUCUGCUAUCUUUGAAAGGGUGAUCAUGAGAAGCAAUGAACACAUCAAAAAAGAAAGCGGUGAUGUGACAAAGACAUUUGCCUUCUGUACCAUGUGUGUUGGUGCGCAUGUGCAUGGCGGGAUGGAGAGAAAUACAGGACACUUUGCUGCUCUGAAGGCCAGCAAGUUAGUGCCACGUUUAAAACCCACCUGAAGGGACUGAAUUUGGAUUUGACUUCAGAAAGAUCAAAUAUUUCCACAAAACCACAGCAGAAAGAGUAAUUAUCAGCUAUCUAAAGCCAGAGCAAAUGCAGCAAAAAUACAUGGAUGAAAAGAGAUGCUUGGGAAAAAAAUAGCUCAAGAGUAUAUUUCUCUUGACUUAGGAAUCUAGCUGAUUCCUCACAUUUUGCAAGGACAAUUCAUAAUCUUCACUUAGCCUGUACAGAUUAGCCAAAAGGCAGGGCUUACUCAUCCACGGCUCAGUCAUGGAGUGCAUGCUUUUGUAGGUAGAAAGUCCUGGGUACAAUCCAUGGAAUCUCCUGUUAUAAUGGCAGCAGAGCUGGGGAAAUCAACUCUACUUUUGGACAGUGUUUAAUGCCAGCCAAGGCAGACAUUACUGGGCAGAGCUUAGAAAAGUUACCUUUUUUGGAUUAUAACCCCCAGAAUUCUCUAGGUCAGCGUUUCUCUAACUGUGCCCCUCCAGAUGUUUUGGACUUCAGCUCCCAGAAUCCCAGCCAGCUUACCAGCUGUUAGGAACUGUGGGAGCUGCAGUCCAAAACAUCUGAAGAAGCACAGUUUGAGAAACUUUGUUCUAGGUGGAAUGGCCAUUGAUCAGUCUUGGUUGGUUCUGGUCUCAAAAUGUAACUUUUCCAAGCUCUAGUACUGGUCUAGCCAGGCCAUUGGCUUCAUCCUGUUGCAUAUGGCUGACAAUUAGGUCCUUCUCUCAAAGGGUCUCUACAUGGUAUAAUUUGCACAAAUAUUGCCGCAAAACUCAUAUCUGCAUCUCCACCAGCUCUUGGUUAUUGCUUCUCAGGCACCUUACUCGGAGCAAUAGCAUACUGACCAUUUCCUCCCUACAACGGUGUU